rnacentral:lncRNA from 1 species
GCUCUUAGUUCAACAUGUUCUAGAUCAUUUAUAUUGUAUUACUGAUUUGGUAUAUGUAAUAUACACCGGGAAAAGUACAAGAGUUUAACUUCAUUGAAGGCAAUUUUAUCACCGAAACAAUGCAAUUAUUUCUGGUAUUGAUAUUUGCAGUUGUUGCAGGGUGUUUAACGAUAAGCGUGAACACUUAGUCCGUGUAUGAAGAUCAAGACGACCAAUUAUGUUCAUUCUUAAAGGUCAUUUGUAUAAAGAUUCCUGUUUAUAUAUCUUUGAAUUUUUCGAAAUACUAAGGAUUUUCUUAUCCCAGAAAUAGAUUACCUUAGCCGUAUUUGGCACAACUUUUUGGAAUUUUGGGUCCUC